GGUCAUUCGCGCGGACAUUGUGAGAUCCUAACCCGACGGUGUUUGGCAUGGGUCUUGCUUACCCCUUUACCCAACCCAUGCUUACCCCUUUACUCAACCCAUCGUUGGCUGUGGCGGAGGCGACCGGAGUUGCUGCGGCGGCGGAGGCGACCCAGGUGCGAUGGAGGCGCAGACGGCCCCUGUGCGGCGGCAACGGCGGCGACGGCGGCGGCGGCGGCCAUGGGCGAACCUAAAGGGUGGUCAAGGCUAUCUCGCUCGGGCAACCGGAAGGACGCCGGCCAGCUACGCAUCUACACGGGAGACCAACAGGGCGUCGGCGUCCCCGCCCAGGCGCUCGGCCGCGCGGCGCUGUCCUCGCCCCGCUCUCAACCGGGCGGCGCCCGUCCUCGGCCCCACCGGCAGUGGGUGUCGCUGCCCCUCCACACGCUAGGCCAGGUGCGGCCUCUCCCGGUCAGACGGUGACCGGAUGGGCAUCCCUGGCGCCCCUUCCUGUCACGGGCGGCAUUCCCAGCCGAUGCCUCUUCUUUCUUUUUUUUUGGGUGCACCAUCUAGACGCAACGAUGUGAUCCUGGAUGUACAGAGCGACAGACGAAUUAACUGUAUUAAGAAGUUUGAUCUUGUUGUUAGCAGAGAGGAAGAAGGGGAAUCGGGGAUCGGCUAGCAACAAGAUCGGGACGGGAAGAGGGACAGAGUUGGUGGGAAGCUGGCCGACGAGGACAGCUUCAGAAUCGCUUUCUCCAGGAUCCCCGGAGUACCGAGGGCAGAGCUCGUCGGUGUUCAAGUCGGCGAUGAGGAAGCAGCUCGUGGACGAAGGCUACAGGAUCCGCGGGAACGUCGGGGACCAGUGGACCGACCUGCAGGGCGACUGCGCCGGCGACCGCGUGUUCAAGAUACCCAAUCCCAUGUACUUCGUCCCCUGAGGCGAUUUUUUUUUUCAGCCUUGACCUGCCUGACUGUAUUCAUCAGGAAUUCAGGAUAUAAAAAAACUAUGUAGUGAAAAAAAAACGUUGUGUAAACGGAUGGCUAACGUGGAAGAAGCUUAGGCCGUAAAGCAGAUAUAAUCGUCGACGACGAAGAA